rnacentral:rRNA from 1 species
CUAAGGUAGCGAAAUUCCUUGUCGGGUAAGUUCCGACCUGCACGAAUGGCGUAACGACUUCCCCGCUGUCUCCAACAUAGACUCAGUGAAAUUGAAUUCCCCGUGAAGAUGCGGGGUUCCUGCGGUCAGACGGAAAGACCCCGUGCACCUUUACUACAGCUUCACACUGGCAAUAGGUCAGACGUGUGCAGGAUAGGUGGUAGGCUUUGAAGCAGGGACGCCAGUCCUUGUGGAGCCAACCUUGAGAUACCACCCUUGUUUUGCUUGAUGUCUAACCGCGGUCCGUUAUCCGGAUCCGGGACCCUGCGUGGUGGGUAGUUUGACUGGGGCGGUCGCCUCCUAAAGAG